AAACAGCAAUGGGUAGGUGGAGCUUAAACUAUUUAAACUUGCAGCAAUGGACUCCCGGGAGCUGCUGGGUUUGGGUGUGUAACACAGUGCAGUGAUGUCUGGAAGCAAAAAGACAGGGAAAGGGCAUUGUGUGCGCAGAGAAAUAUGCGGUGUUAACCCCUUUCCAAGACUAAAGGAAGCGAGCUGUAAAUUGAAAGAGGUUGCACUUAAUAACUGUAAAGUGUCUCUACAGAAAGAAGCAAAGAAACCUGCACAGCCCUUAACUGAACUCCUCUGUGUGAGGGAGCAAAUGAAACAGCAUUUUUUGGAAAUGAAGACCAGUAUAACAUUAAGAGAUCCAACAUUUGCUUGUGAAAUGUCAGAUCGUUCCUUGAAUGUCAGUUUAGAAACCUUCGAGACACCUUAUGAAGAAGUUCUGUAUGCGAUUCGUAACAAAGAGCUCGCGACUCACAGGAUGCAGUGUGCACAUGCGGUUUCACGUCAGAUGCAAAUAAAUGUGGAUGACCGGUGGCUAAUUUCCAAGCUGAUGAACUCCUCUAUAGAUCUUUGCAAGAUGAUAGAGUCCAUUCAGAAUAAAACCCGAGCACUGGAAUUGUCUGUCCUUCAGGCCCGUAAGAAGAGAUUAGAAUUGAAGGUUGAGCUCCGGGCUCGUAUGAAAGCAGUCCAGGUGCAAGCCCAGCUGAAUGAGCAGGUUCAUGUGUUUGUUUAGAAUUGAAGGUUGAGCUCCGGGCUCGUAUGAAAGCAGUCCAGAUGCAAGCCCAGCUGAAUGAGCAGGUUCAACAGUUCACAGCUGGCACUGAAGAUGCAGGCAGAGCUCACCUGCAGCAGCAUUCCAAUGUGCUGGUCCUGAUUCAGGAAGUGUUCCGGGUAAAUCCAUUACGGCUCUUUUUUAUUCAUGUUUUAAAGUGGUGUCCUAAAUCUGAAGGUACCGUAACGCCAUUAAAAUACAGAUUUGUCUAAACAGGAAUGAUCUGAAUUCCCAUUGUAUUUGUAAACGUCUAGUGACACAUAUAACAGGUAGUGCAUUUAUCUACUUUCUACAAGUAUUUCCAGUGUCUCUCCAUCUUGUCAGAAUGAUUUACCUUGUGUCCGAGUCCACACUCGUCGUUGUCUGUUGCUGUUGUCUUCGUAGGCAUUCAAAGUUUGUAAAAGUUCUAUUGCUCUUUUCAUUGCAUCGUGAGGACUAACUGAAUCAGACAGUCAUGUGGGAGAUGCGAGUCAUGCCUGUUCAAGUUCCUGCAGCACUGCUGCCUGUAGGACGGCGUUCCUGCAGCACUGCUGCCUGUAGAACGGCGUUCCUGCAGCACUGCUGCCUGUAGGACGGCGUUCCUGCUCUAGUGUUUCUUGACUAGACCCUCUGGUCAGGUCUCUCUUUCUGGUUUAUUAUGACAGCACAACCCUGCAUGUUCAACGCAUACAUGAAUUACAGUCCCUUCUCCCGCCCUGGUGCUAGUCCAUUCAAACGGGUUAGGGUCGGUGCAGCGUGAAGUCUCUGUUCUGCUCUGGUGACGAUUAGUCACGGGGCAUGCUAUUACAAAGUCCUUGUUUUAUAUGCCCCGCUUUGUGUUUUUCAGAGGGUUAUUCUGGGUGCAGGCGUGCACUGGGCAGAAGAUCCGAAACUCCUGAGCACAGUUCUGUGUAUGAAGGAUGCUUCCUUUCUUUGAAUA